CUUGGGAUGUGCUGUAUGGUGACUAACAUAACAUAAUAAAAAAUUAUUAUUAAAAAAAAGAAACUUAGGAAUUUUAUUGACCUUUUCAAAGAACCAGCUUUUGGUUUCAUGGACUGUUCUUUUCCUGGUACCUGCUCUAAUGUCUGUUUCCCUUAUUUACUUGCUUUGAGUUUAUUUUUAUUUUCUUUUUCUAGUUCUAAAGGGGGAGGCUUUCAUUAUUGAUUUGGAUCCUUGAUUCUUUCUAGUACAAACAUUUGAUGCUGUACAUUUACUGCCAGGCGCUGCUGUAGCUGCAUCCUGCAGAUUUGGAUAUGUUGUAUUUUCAUUUCCAUUCAGUUCAUCUGAUAAAGGGUUAGUAUCCAGAAUAUUUUCUAAUUGCCCUUGAGACUUGCCCUCUGCACCAUGGAUUGUCUAGAAGCGUAUGGUGUAAUUUCCUUGUGUUUGGAGAUGUUCCUCUUCACUUUUUCGUUCAUAUUGGUAGUUUUUCUCUUUUGCUCAGACAACGUUCUCUGUAUGAUUUCAACUGUUUUAUAACUUGCAGUAUUUGUUUUAUGACCCAGGAUGCAGGGUACCGUGGUGAAACUCGCAUAUGCCCUCGAAAAGAAUGUAUAUCCUGCCACUACCAUGGGAAGGGUUCUGUACUUGUCACUUACAUCCAGCUAGUUCAUGGUGUUGUUCAGUUCAUCCACAUAUUGCUAAUUUUCUUCUGUUCCUUCUGAUUACUGAGAGAGUGUUGAACUCUACAACUAUCCUUUGUAGAUUUGUUCAUUUAUCCUUCCGUUCUGUCUGAUUUGGUUAUGUAUCUUGAAGCUUUGUUGCUGGGUGUUGUGCAGAGAAGAGUUAACAUAGCAGGCCUGAGACCACUAUCCUUGCAGAGAUCAGCACGUUGGCCCUUACUUUGCAACUGAGAACUUGAAUUUCAGAAGGCUUCCCUACCCGAGCGGGAUGCUUUACUCUUCUUAAACUGUCCAGACAGUAUGUUUCGUGCCAAACACCCGCUUUCCUUCUGGAACUCUAAAAUCUUGGUAUGUGCUAGGCAGAGAGUGCCUAUGUGACCAGCCCCAAAACAAACCUCAGACACGGUGUUAGUCAUGAGCUUCCCUGGUAGACAACGUUUCGUGUGAGUUGUCAUGAUUUGUUCUUGGAGGCACAAAGAGCAUGACUCUACUGGGAAAGGACUCUUGGACGCUUGCACUGGUUUCCUCCAGAUGUUACCCAGGGGACCUUUUUCCCUGGGUAAUUUUGCUUUGUAUCCUUUUGCUGUAAUAAAUCUUAGCCCUGAGGAUGACUGUAUGCUGAGUCCUUUGGGCCCUCCUGGGGAGUCACCAAAGCAAGGGUGGUCUUGGGACGUCGGAAACAGCGGUGGUAGCCGUGGGACUCACUAGCAAGAAGACCCUGACUCAGUAAAAUAUGGUGAAAGAUUUCGUUGAGUAAGGGAAGGGUGAUCCGGUAGAGAUGAUGAACCUUUUGUGCCCCAGUGACUGUGGAUAUACCCAUGGGAUGAAACACCAGCUGAACUGUUUUGAGAGGGAAAUGUUACUUACAGAAGGUAAAAAGAAAAGAUCCACCUCCGGGAGCGUUAGCUCACUGCGUACCUUGGCUGCUUUAGCCAUGCUGGGUGAUAGGAGGGGAGCAAGUGUAGCCACCUUAUGACUUGGGGCUUUAUUUUCUCAGGGCCAGGGAAAAGGAUACAGACCUUCCCAAAGGUGAGCUUUGAGUCAGCCAAAAAUGUUGAAAGUUUAAUUUGCUGUCUCCUCCCAAGUGGGAGGAAACAAAUCUAAUCCAUUCCCUGAGCCGGAAAAAGCUUUCCAUAAACUAGAGCAUUCCAACCAAGAAGCCCCCUGGCCCCUGUGUGGCCACCUGGUAAGUAUCAGUUUACUGCUAGCAGUUUCGAUAAACUUUCAGUGAGAGGGGAAAAGGGAGGAUUUCAAAAUGGCUUCGAACGUUGUGGCUGUUGGCGUCUGGAUGUAUCGAGAAAAUUGAUUCAGGAUGUGAGGCAGGGCCACUAUUCAAUGCAGCUGCGCCCAGCAAGGGAAUGACCUGUUCUAGCCUGGUCGCCGCAUGAAUGAGAGAGACAAAGAGGACAGGAGAUGAUGUAAACCCAUUUUGAAAAUGUUGAAAAUUCAGGAUUUCAUCCUGACAGUUCUUAAGGAUCACGAGUCUUUGUUGUUACGCAGUAGGAUUUUCUAUGAAAAUGCUUUUGUCCCUUUUGAUAACAGCCCCUCCAUACAAAGGGUUUGGAGGAGAGUGGAGGAUAAAGAAAGAAACGUAAAGGUUCCAUUUCAGAAUUAUACACACUGAUUUUGUAACAGUGGAGAAAACACAAACCUGGCACCUGGGGAGAGGCAGAGGGGGGAAGCAAAGACAUUAAUGACCUCUGUUUGUCCAAACUGUUCCUGGAAACGGGCUAUUUUUUUUUUAUAAAGAAAUACUCACAGAGCAAUCUUUCCAAGUGGCUGUGAGUGCUUUGGUGCAAACUGGCUGCUGAGCCUCCAGCCACACCUGCCAGAGCGCUGACUGUGGGACAGCAGGCAUGGCCCCGGCUCUUGGGCUCUGCACACACAGCACUUCCACAUGUCCUCCUGCCUCGGAAAGAGGGCGAACUGGUGUUGGGGACAGACCAUACUUUUGGAACUGACUGCCUCCAGGCAACCCUCUGAAACCAGGGUCUCAGAUGGAUAUUCCGAGUGGACGGGGAGUACUGGAGGGGAAGGUCUCAUGGUGGGAGGCCACAUGGAAGCCCUGGUGAGCUGUAUCGCCUGAUUCGUGUAUGUCCAGCUCUGGGCUCCCUAACAAUUGUAAACUCUGUUUCAGGAGUGUCACGUGUGCCCUCUGCGAUUACACUUGCUGUGUGUGUGCUCUCACUAGCCUGAUACUGCCUCAGCCUGGAAGACUUUCAGGUCAGCUUCUGCUUCCCGACCAGAGUGUGCUGUGCCUGAAUUUGUGCCUCAGGCCAGCUAAAAACAAGGUUCAUACAAACACUUAAGCAGUAAGUUAUCUCUUUUUCUACGUUAGACUUUUAUGGGUAGUGAGAAUUGUUUUAACUGGUCAAGUCUGGGACCCGUGAGGGAUGUAAUGGAGAUGAGUUCCACAGGCUGCUGUUACCCUGCUUCAUGGGUCCUAAGACGGAGACCCGUGGCACUUGUGUCCCACCCUCCACAGCCUGACAUGCUUCAGCCUGGACAUGGUUCUGUCAGAUGGUUCGUCAUUAUGACAUGGGGUCCAGCCAUUCCCAGUUUCCUUUGUUCCACAAGGGUGGACUGACCUUCUACCAAGUGUCAGAUCCUCUGCCCUGAGGACACCAAGAUGAACUGGGUGUGUUUCCAACCUUCCAAGAAGGAGAUAAGAGUCUGGUGAGGGAGACAGACAUGGAAACAAAGUGGCGGUGGUUAAGUUAAGCUGGUUUUGUUCAGCCACUCCUGGCAGAUGACAGGAUGAACCUCUCCCAGUGAAUUCUUUCCGUCCUUUCCCAGCAUAUCCUGCAGAAGAUCCAUCUGGCCCGUACACUUGGGUUGCCCUUAUCCCGUUUCCUCCGUGCACAGUCGCAGCUAUCAAGUGAUACUGGCAUGUGGUCGCAGACUCAAAGCCAAGAAGGGAAUGGCUUUCGCUGAUGUGUUUUCCAAAACAGUCAAGGGUAAUUGGUACCUUUCCAGGUAAAACAACAUGCCAGUUUCCCUCAAUUUACAGGGGAGUUACAUUUAUGGAAAAUCUAGUGUAUUGAAGUCUCUGCAAAAAAGGUUUGCAUCCCUACAACUUCCCCUUCCUAAAUGCCAGUACCUCCCUUUCAUCAUUUCAACAAUCAAAAUUGCCCUCUAAAAGCUUUUCAAAAUGCGCCUGUAUUUUGGUUUAAAUAUUAUGUAUUAUGUGGUUUUAAACCACAAGAAGAUGAUCUUAUGCAGGAAGCCCCCAAAGCCUCGUAUUCGCAACCAAAGGAUAGGAGUCUUGUCAUUGCCUGCAUUUGGUCAGAGGAAAUAGCGUGGCAGCAUGGAGUAGGGCACACUACCCCCCAGAAAGGAUUCCGGGCACCUUCAUCUUCUGUCUGCUUACUGUGAUGGGAAAAUGUUUCAGGGACAGCUGGGGUGUGAGGUAAAGCUUUGUUCCAGGGGUCACCACUGCCACGGGAUGUCAGCGCCCAGGAUGGUUUUGUAGUUGUCAUGGUUCUUAGCUCCUGGACCUGGGGUUCUCCUCAUGGAUGAGAAGCCUUUCCAGGUGCGGACAGCAGAAUGAGGGGCUGGGCUAGGGCUUGAGGCUACUGUCCUGUUUGGGACAGCAGAUGAGAUCACAGACAGAUGACAGCUGAAAGGAUAAGAGGGAGACGAUCUUCUAAAGUCAGGGGCAGGUUUCUGGCAGGUGAAGGGAAAACAUUAUCCCCAAGUUCUUGUUGCUCCAGGCUGACGUGGAAUGGAGUGUGGGUGCAAGAAUGAACCGAAGGCUGAGAGGAGGUGGGGAUAAUCACAUAACCUCACA